ACCUCCAGGAUUCCCACCAACCUCCAGCCAUGAAGAUCUUCUGCCUCCUCUCUGUGGCCGUCCUCCUCUUGAUGCUGCUGGCUCCAGAUUUCACCAGAGGACAACCUCCUUGCAUUCAGAGAUGUCGACAGCAGAAUGGGAUACUGCGAGGCAGCUGUCCACCCCUAAGGCCAUUAUUUCCGUGCUAUCGCCUAUGGUGUUGCCGUAGAGGUCGGGGGUAACUCUGCAGAUCUCCAGUGCAAGACCUCUGGUGAAAGGAAGACCACCCUGCUCUCCUCUGAUGUGCAGCUGCCUCAACCGCACCCCCACCUCUGCUUGAUGCCAUCCUGUCUGCCUGUCUACU